rnacentral:rRNA from 1 species
CUACCGGGGUUUCUAAUCCUGUUUGCUCCCCACGCUUUCGCGCCUCAGCGUCAGUUAUUGGCCAGUAAGUCGCCUUCGCCACUGGUGUUCCUCCUAAUAUCUACGCAUUCCACCGCUACACUAGGAAUUCCACUUACCUCUCCAACACUCUAGUUUAUCAGUAUCAGGUGCAAUCACGGGGUUGAGCCCCGAACUUUCACACCUGACUUAAUUUACCGCCUGCGCGCCCUUUACGCCCAGUGAUUCCGGACAACGCUUGCCCCCUAUGUUUUACCGCGGCUGCUGGCAC